rnacentral:misc_RNA from 1 species
UGCUGUCGUCGACAGCACCCAAAGCUUCACGACCUGAAAGAAGCGCCUGAUCUGUCAGGAGAUGGUUGCCAUUUUACCGGCAGGGCCUCUGCAAAAAUGCCGGGCCGCAGAUACUGCGGCAGAGGUUGAGAGUUAUAUACGAUACA